rnacentral:tRNA from 1 species
GCUCGUGUGAUGGAAUUGGUAGACGUGAUAGACUCAAAAUCUAUUGGGGUUUCCCCGUGUCGGUUCGAGUCCGACCACGAGCACCA